CAGAGUUGAAAAACUCCCUAACCCUUUGUUUACAUACCUGUCCCGUUGCUUCGGCAGGCGGCCCCAGGGCGGGGCCUCCAGCCUGCUUAUGCAGGUGUCUGCCGCUGGCACAAAACUCUUUGUUAUAUAUACCACUCUGAGUCACAUAAAAAUGAAUCA
rnacentral:misc_RNA from 1 species